rnacentral:rRNA from 1 species
UAUACCGUGAAACUGCGAAUGGCUCAUUAAAUCAGUUAUCGUUUAUUUGAUAGUACCUUACUACUUGGAUAACCGUGGUAAUUCUAGAGCUAAUACAUGCUAAAAACCCCGACUUCGGGAGGGGUGUAUUUAUUAGAUAAAAAACCAAUGCCCUCCGGGGCUCUUUGGUGAUUCAUGAUAACUUAACGGAUCGCAUGGCCUUGCGCCGGCGACGGUUCAUUCAAAUUUCUGCCCUAUCAACUUUCGAUGGUAAGGUAUUGGCUUACCAUGGUUUCAACGGGUAACGGGGAAUUAGGGUUCGAUUCCGGAGAGGGAGCCUGAGAAACGGCUACCACAUCCAAGGAAGGCAGCAGGCGCGCAAAUUACCCAAUCCCGACACGGGGAGGUAGUGACAAUAAAUACUGAUACAGGGCUCUUUUGGGUCUUGUAAUCGGAAUGAGUACAAUUUAAACCCCUUAACGAGGAACAAUUGGAGGGCAAGUCUGGUGCCAGCAGCCGCGGUAAUUCCAGCUCCAAUAGCGUAUAUUAAAGUUGUUGCAGUUAAAAAGCUCGUAGUUGAACCUUGGGCCUGGCUGGCCGGUCCGCCUCACCGCGUGUACUGGUCCGGCCGGGCCUUUCCUUCUGGAGAACCACAUGCCCUUCACUGGGCGUGUUGGGGAACCAGGACUUUUACUUUGAAAAAAUUAGAGUGUUCAAAGCAGGCCUUUGCUCGAAUACGUUAGCAUGGAAUAAUGGAAUAGGACGUGCGGUCCUAUUUUGUUGGUUUCUAGGACCGCCGUAAUGAUUAAUAGGGAUAGUCGGGGGCAUCAGUAUUCAAUUGUCAGAGGUGAAAUUCUUGGAUUUAUUGAAGACUAACUACUGCGAAAGCAUUUGCCAAGGAUGUUUUCAUUAAUCAGUGAACGAAAGUUAGGGGAUCGAAGACGAUCAGAUACCGUCGUAGUCUUAACCGUAAACUAUGCCGACUAGGGAUCGGGCGAUGUUUCUAUCUUGACUCGCUCGGCACCUUACGAGAAAUCAAAGU